rnacentral:rRNA from 1 species
AUUGAACGCUGGCGGCAGGCCUAACACAUGCAAGUCGAACGGUAACAGGAAGCGGCUUGCUGCUUUGCUGUCGAGUGGCGGACGUGUGAGUAAUGUCUGUGAAACUGCCCGAUGGAGGGGGAUAACUACUGGAAACGGUAGCUAAUACCGCAUAACUUCGCAAGACCAAAGAGGGGGACCUUAGGGCCUCUUGCCAUCGGAUGUGCCCAGAUGGGAUUAGCUAGUAGGUGGGGUAACGGCUCACCUAGGCGACGAUCCCUAGCUGGUCUGAGAGGAUGACCGGCCACACUGGAACUGAGACACGGUCCAGACUCCUACGGGAGGCAGCAGUGGGGAAUAUUGCACAAUGGGCGCAAGCCUGAUGGAGCCAUGCCGCGUGUAUGAAGAAGGCCUUCGGGUUGUAAAGUACUUUCAGCGGGGAGGAAGAGAGUAAAGUUAAUACCUUUACUCAUUGACGGUACCCGCAGAAGAAGCACCGGCUAACUACGUG